UACGUAGGUGGCAAGCGUUAUUCGGAAUUAUUGGGCGUAAAGGGCGCGUAGGCGGCCUGGCAAGUCGAACGUGAAAUCCCCGGGCUCAACCCGGGAACUGCGUCCGAUACUGGAAGGCUUGAAUCCGGGAGAGGGAUGUGGAAUUCCAGGUGUAGCGGUGAAAUGCGUAGAUAUCUGGAGGAACACCGGUGGCGAAGGCGACAUCCUGGACCGGUAUUGACGCUGAGGCGCGAAAGCCAGGGGAGCAAACGGGG
rnacentral:rRNA from 1 species